UAGGGAAUCUUCCGCAAUGGACGAAAGUCUGACGGAGCAACGCCGCGUGAGUGAAGAAGGAUUUCGGUUCGUAAAACUCUGUUGUUAGGGAAGAAAAAAUGUAUAGUAACUAUAUACAAAAGAGACGGUACCUAACCAGAAAGCCACGGCUAACUACGUGCCAGCAGCCGCGGUAAUACGUAGGUGGCAAGCGUUGUACGGAAUUAUUGGGCGUAAAGCGCGCGCAGGUGGUUUAGAAAGUCUGAUGUGAAAGCCCACGGCUCAACCGUGGAGGGUAAUUCGAAACUAAUAAACUUGAGUGCAGGAGAGAAAAGUGGAAUUCCUAGUGUAGCGGUGAAAUGCGUAGAGAUUAGGAGGAACACCGGUGGCGAACGCGGCUUUUUGGCCUGCAACUGACACUGAGGCGCGAAAGCGUGGGGAGCAAACAGG
rnacentral:rRNA from 1 species